GCGGCUAUAGGAUAAUGGUAGUCUCGUCGAUUUCCACUCGAACUGUACCGAUUCGAUUUCGGUUAGCCGUA
rnacentral:tRNA from 1 species